rnacentral:rRNA from 1 species
GACGAACGCUGGCGGCGUGCCUAAUACAUGCAAGUCGAACGCAGUGGGGACGGUUGAUUAACACGUGGGUAACCUCCCCUCAGAGGGGAUAACCCUUGGCAACAGGUGCUAAACCGAUACUGAUUGAUGGACCCGCGGUGCAUGAGCUAGUUGGUGAGGUAACGGCUCACCAAGGCCACGAGGCAUAGCCGACCUGAGAGGGUGAUCGGCCACACUGGGAAUGAGACACGGCCCAGACUCCUACGGGAGGCAGCAGUAGGGAAUCUUCGGCAAUGGACGAAAGUCUGACCGAGCAAUGCCGCGUGAGUGAAGAAGGUUUUCGGAUCGUAAAACUCUGUUGGUAGAGAAGCGGUAUCUAAACAGAAAGCCACGGCUAACUACGUGCCAGCAGCCGCGGUAAUUC